GGUCAUCAAUUUUAGUUAAGACAACGUCUGAAAAAUAAAAUGGGGGUGUGAGUAAUCCAGUCCAUCAGAGUGAGACGUCCACAAUCGCCAUUUGUGAACCAAUAAAUAAUCGGUUGAGCUCUGUCCAAGGGGUUCAAAAGGUUAACAGUCGCAGUCCUGGUCAAUAGGACUCCAGGAGCAUAGGGGAAACCAGGCAAAGGGUUACCCCUUUGCUCAUAGAUACCAUCCAGCCCGCUUGUCUCUGGAUCAGCAGCAAUCGAGAGACCACCUCGCGGUUCUGACGUGCAAUAGGCAACGCUGCCUUGUCAUCCACCACUUGUCUUAGGUUGUGCAAUGAGUACCCCGGUAAUAUCCGUCCAGCGUCUACUUCGAGACCCGCAGGUCAUUCAACACCAAGCGUGCAAUGGAUAUUAUGUUCAUGGUACUCGCCUAUGACCAACAUAAAAAGGGGGCGGUUCCGGGCAGUGCAAUGAUCACCUUUUUGGCCAACCUGCUCAGCUGCUAAUCAAACAUAGCCCUAAGCGUGCAAUGGAGGCCCUCUUCAUAGUGCAGGUGGUGAACAAGUCCCUAUAAACCUCAUGGCCGCAGCCGUAUCUCAGGGGCGGUUCCGGGCAGUGCAAUGAACACCUUUUUGGCUAACCUGCUCAACUGCUAAUCACACAUAGCCCUGAGCGUGCAAUGGAAGCCCUCUUCAUAGUGCAGGUGGUGAACAAGUCCCUUAACCUCAUAGCCGAAGCCGUCUCACGGACCAACGAGCAAGUGCAAUGAUCACCUUCCAGCGCUCUCCCCACGACCUAUUCUGCAACCUAGACCUGGGGGUGCAAUGAACGCGGCUGCCUAGUGAUCCCCCGCGUCCACAAAUAAACAUAAACCAGACCUGGAGGCCUCGCGACGCCGCGACCCUCCAGCGUCCCCUGUUGGGUUAAUCUCGGCGUGCAAUGGGCAUUUUCGAGCGCCGCCCCGCCUCAAGCUUAACCGUGGAUUAAUUAAGGAUAGACAGACUAACAAAGUUUAGCUCGACAUGUCGGGGCUCAACUCAAUCUUAUUCAUAGUUCGUCAACUCUCAAUUCAAUAUCAUUCUCAUCAAAUAUCACCAACUUUAGUAUCAACCAAUUAAAUAAACUAUCAACUGAUGAAUAGCGCAUUAAUUCAACUUCAGUUUGAUAUUGUACUCAAUACUCACGCAGGUUUCUGAUGAACGUUAUCAACAAUUAUAAAAUCAACACCGCAGCAAUUAAAAUAAUGAUUGAACGACUCACCCUACCGUUGAUAUGGUAAUUAUCAUAAAUCUCUACACCUUAUUGGAUUGAAAAACCUCACACACCAACAAACUGGGAUUACUCAGUGAUAACUCACCUUGAUUCACUUAAGCAAUUACUUUAAGUCACUCUAACUUGGAACUGACUCUAGCUCACACUACCUCUCUAAAGUGUGGGUGAAAACUAAAAACUCAUAUGCAAAAUUGCAUAUUCGAAGGCGUCUUUCUCACGGUCGACUUGGGGUGGUCUGCUUGUCACCCUGACUAGCUAAUAAAUUAGGCUCAAGUGUUUAUGUUUCUCGAAAUAAAAGUCUCGGGGUCUU